CCUUAGGACUAUUUAUUAGAGAAGGUACUAUUCAUCUAGUCAAUAUGAGUGAGAAUGUGAAAAUUUGGCUAAUAAUAAUGAUAUGUUCAUUGGUUUUUAAAUUAUCAUGGCAUAUUAUUCUAAUAGUAUUAUACUAUUACUAAUAGUAAAUUGUUAUAAAAUAUCAUAGUCCUCUAAAUUUUUCACCAAAGCUGUGCAAGUCAUUGGUAUUUUUGGUUCUCUGGCCAAGCCAAAACGUCAAAAAAGAAUUAGGUUAAGGCAAAUGAAAAUGGUUUUUAGUUUUGUUGAAAAGGAUUGGAAUUUGAGUAAAUUUAGUCUUGAAAAGUUAUUUCCAAAUGAAAAAAGUUAGAUGUUUCAUUUAAAAUAUUAACAUUUAUAUGGUCUGACUUUUCUUAAUUUUUCUGGUGUCUUUAGCUGAAACAAUUUAAGUUUGGCAUAAAUGUGUAAAUAAAUUCCAUGGAUGCCAUGCUUUGCUUUUCAGUGAAUAAUUAAACAAUUUGCCUGAAAUAAUUAACUCAGCUCUAGUUUUCUAGAUGCUAAUAAUGGACUCAUUUGUAUAGCUAUAGAAUCACCAAACCAGAACAUUUUAGAAGCAAAUUCACUGCUCGUGGGGCUGCUUCUCUGACUUGCCUCAUGUAGGAUGAGUCUCUCUAAAACAAAUGAUACAUUCCCAUAAGAAAAGGUUGAGGAGUCAAGUCUUUUAGGCAGGAGUAAUAUUUCCUACCUUGCAAGUACUCAUGACCAUCAGAAGAAUGGUAUCUUCAGCAGCAAAACGACCUCUUAAACGAAGCUGGAGCAUUGACUCAGUAUUGAUUCAGAGCGAAGUCAGCUUCUUGUUGAAACAAACACCACUUCCUGUAGCACUGGGGUUUCUCUGCAGGGCUUCUGCCCGUGCUUUGCUUUAAGAGUUGAGAAGACAGUGCAUGGUGGUAUGGCUUCAGGCAAUGAAUGUCCUUUUUUUAAAUCAGGAGGUAAAGGGUUUAGUACUAUUUCUUGGAUUUUUCUUAUUCCCUCUAAGCCAGAGGGGAUAGCCUAGAGGUCUACACACAGGCAGGAAAGAUCCAGACUGGAGACACAGGUUCAAAGAUUCAGCAACAAGGUGGGAAGAGUUGGAUGACUCAAGGGAUAGACAUCAUUAAUCCCCAGGAAAUUACACAAGGUUCCAGGAACACUUGCUCAACAUCCAGCCCUCUUAAAAUUCACAAGCUGAACUUUAGCCUUGGUAUCAGCUGGCACAAGUUGAAAGGAGUUGCGUGUGCUUGGAGCCAGCAAAUGAUCUUGGCCCAUUGCAGUCAGUGUCCUACUAAACCAGCUCUCAAGAUAUGCAAAAGGAUAAUAAAUGAUCAUACAAAAAAAGCUAAUCUGCCCUGAGAAGGCUGCAGUGAAAAAAGGAUGCACAAAAGUCCAGAGAAGUAUUUCUCCGCUGGUAAAUUUUGACCACCAAAGGAAUCACACUGGCACUUAGGGAGAUAUCGGAAAUGUUAUUACGAUUCUAAAGCAAAGAAACAUUUUCAGAAUGACUUCAGACUAGCAGAGACCCUCAAAGAGUGUGAGGUCAAUACUGUGGUUGCAUUAUAUGGGUUUAUCAUUGUUACUAUCAAUACUUACCUUUACUGUUAUUCAUACAAGGGGGUUAUGAGAAGAGGUAUAACAUCCAAGGCCUGUGCCCUGAGUGCCAGUAGUGGCAGGAACAGUGGCAGGGGCUGGUCUCACAGUGGCAGUGGCUGCUUCCUUUGAGUGGUAUCCUGGUUGCCCACAAUCACUUCUCUACUGUUAGGGAGUUACUUUGAAUAAAGGGGACACCUAUCUAAGAAAGGUAAGAAACACUCUACUAUUGCAAACCCAGAGCAAUGAUGUGAAGAAACAAAUCCUUGGGAGCCCCUUGUUAACAUCCCAACACAAAAUUCAAGGGAAAGUUGGGCUCAUCUCACAUCUGGCUACCAAUAAACCAGCAAUUUUCAAAGGUGAUGCUGAUCCCACGUGACCAAAAACAUUUAUAAGAGCUUGCGGCAAACAUCAGCAGUUCAAAAUCCUUAUGCUGUUAAACUGUGAAUGCUGACAUGAUAAUUGCAAUAAGUAAUCAGUAGUGGACCUGAUUCUCCUUUCACACUAAUGCAAAUUGGGAGUAGGGAUGAUGCACUGUUGUAAAAUUAGUGUUAGGAGAGAAUUAGGCCCCGUUUGUUCUUCAGGAAAAGCAUACGAGCAUUUCCCACAAACUGGGCUGGGUAUAAAGUUGUUUGCUCAGUGACAAAAAUUUGCUUACUAGGAAACAUUUAACAACCACCACCACGACAAACAACAAUGACAAGGUGCCACCAAAGAGACGUGAUUAUGACCCAUGUCCCCAUUAUGGUAGAUGCUUUGAAAGCGCCGAACAAAAAAGACAGAGCCCGCCCCUAAGACCUUGCAAGAUAAACAGCGAAUGAUUACAGAUGGAUGGGAGCGCAUAUAGGAACAGCGAGACAAUAUUUGUCAGCACGAUAAGCAGUGUUCUCAACACAUCAGCAGCCUUGCCAGUGUCUUUAUCAGCAGAAAAAAAGGAUUUUGAGGAGAGCUUUGGAGAAGCAGAAUGAAUCUGGCAGAUGUUUACAGGGAGCUGCUUCUGAGUGCGAGGAAAAAGUAUGAAGCUGCCUAUUCAAAAACUGAAUUAGUGGACAAUACAGACUGGUAUCAUAGGCCAGGCAGAGAUGUGAGUCAACCCCUCAGUACCGAAUGCGUUUAUAGAGAUGCAGCCCUUCAGUCUGAUGCAGAAGAGAAGAGGAGCUACUAGAAGGAUUAACAGAGAGGAGUGAAUUCUCCAGAGGGACUAAGUGGGAGAAUAGGUUGCAUUUGUCACAGCCAGAGACAUGAGGGGUUAUGCCUGGAUGAGGGACUUUUCUGUGUAGAUCGAUAGAAAAGGUCAUAUCUUGGGUCUACUAGGCAAGAAGAAUCUGAAAAAUUCUG